GUGCUAUGUCCAGGUAGAUAGCUCAGUUGGUUAGAACAUGCUGCUGAUAACACCAUGGUCACAGAUUUGAUCCCUGUACUGCACA